ensembl:lncRNA
UAUUAUUACUUACCUACAAGGCCCUUCAUGGUUUAGCUCCUGCAUACCUAACUAGUCUUCUACCACGCUACAAUCCAUCACACUCCCUAAGGUCACAAAGCUCUGGACUUUUGGUAGUACCUAGGAUAGCAAAGUCCACUAAAGGAGGUAGAGCUUUUUCGCACUUGGCUCCCAAACUCUGAAAUAGCCUUCCUGAUAAUGUUCAGGGUUAAGAAACACUCUCUCUGUUUAAAUCUAGAUUAAAGACACAUCUCUUUGGCCAACCAUUCAAAUAAUGCAUCUCAUAAUCUUGUACUGCAGUUAUAACUGAUCAAAUGCACAUUAUUAUUCUUUAGCUUGGGUUAAACAAAUCAAUUUUGCUUGGUUGGAACAGCAGCUACACUAAUUAUGUCUCUAUUUGUUUCUCUGUUUUGCCAUGGGAUUUACAUGCCGUGGUAACUAGGAUUUACACAAGUUUCUGUCUGGAUCCAGAACACCUGAGAAGAGAUGAUGCCAGCCCCUCAGAGGACCUCAGAUGAUGCCAACCCUGAAACAACAUACAGAACUACCAAAUUUUGCUAUAAGUUUGAUUGCAUUAUAUAAUAAUUGCUGUUUAUAGUUUUCAUUGUCUGUUUGAUUACGUCUUUAAUUUAUUUUUCCGUACAUUUCUGCCAUAUGUACAUUAACUUACAGUCACCACUGAUAAGCUACUACUAAAUAUUGUAGAAACUUAGUUUUCUGUAAAGUUGCUUUGCAACGAUUUUAUUGUAAAAAAAAAAAAAAACUCUAUACAAAUAAACUUGAAUUGAACUGAAUUGAACUAAACUAUGGCUAUGCUCGUAGGUGCUUCUGGAUGUACACUGUCCUGUACACUUCUGAGCUCCGCCAAAAACAAACCCAAUAUUUCUACACGCGAAACAAGGAGAUCAUGUUAAGUGUUGAUGUAAGCAGAGGAACGUGAUCCUGGUCACCUUUUAAGGAGCUGAGUGCUACAUACUGUUGGCUUCACCAGAGCGACUCAGCAGCCAGAACAAACACUAAUACUCAAUGGCCUGUGGUGAAUCAAACUCCAAGAUACUGUUGUGUACUGGGAACAAUAACAGAUCUUCCCACUAUUUCUAUCCAUCUGCAUCCUGAGCAGAUGAAGAUAUCAAGGAUGAAAGGCCACUAUCAACUGGGAGUGUUAAAAAAUGAUGACCUCAGGGAGAAUUUUGGAUUUAGAUCAUGUAAUCAUGUCUGUCAUGCUGUGUUCUGCUUGACGAGAGUCAAAACAGGGCAUCAUAAGCUUUAACAGUUCAAGUUUACAUUUUUUAUUUUAUUUUAUAAUGUAUGGUUUAAAAGGAAAAAUCAUUGGAAAGGUGCCAUCUCACUGACAGCUUUUGUGCCCUUUUUUUUCUCAGAGAAUGUAUGGAAAGGAUUAGAAAUAAUUUGUUUUGCAAUUAUAAUUUAUUUUACUGAUUUUGGUAGAAAUGCUAUUUCUGUAGUUUUAAUUAAGAUGGGAGUCACUGUUGUCUGGUUGAGGGUAUUAUGGAGGUCUGUGAGAUUAACUGUAUAGGCUAAUCAUAGCAUUAUGUAUAUAAUUAAUUUGCCGGCCCCUUUAGAGCAGUCCCUGAUCAGACACUCCUCACUGAUUUAAUUUUCUAUCUAUUUCAGAUGUGAUACCACCAGUACUUGAAACAACUGCUAAUUAGCUAGAAAGUUGUCAAAAAAAGUAUAAAUACAUAAUGAAGGUGCACCAGGCAGUACAACAAAAAAUUUAGCUUUAGUUACAUGUUUGCUGAAGGUCAAAAUAAUUGAGGAGAAACUGCAAUCAUGGAAAUUCCUAUCCAGAUGGGACUGGAUUUCUCAGAGGAAAACAGGAGGUAAUUUGCCCCAUAUAAUUUAAUUAAAAUUUUAUUUUUUUAUCCAAGGUUAUGUGUGAAAUACAUAAACAUUUGUGCUUUGGACAGGGAAAACUAGUCCCUGUCGGUUGCAGAUUACAUUAAUGAUAUGAAAUAAAUAGUUUUUCUACAUUGGCA